CAGGAAGUGACAUCAUUUUGGAGAGAAAUCAACAGUACAAACACUUAAAUCGGUUUGAUGAUAAGUUUCUGCUGACACCGACAGGUGGCAGCGCUGCACUGUUCCCGCAGACCCAUAGCAACACAUGAUGAGAACAGAGAGACAUAAACAGAGCUGCAGCGCUUACAUAAGACGGCCAGAUGCUCUCAGAGGUUCUUCUCUCUCUCUGUGUGUGUAUGUGUGUGUCUGCUUAACUACCUACUCACAUACUUUGAGGACAGAA